GCUUCCUCAGAGCAGGGUCCAGCUCUCUAGUCUGCACACAGAUACAGCCUGAGGAGAAGUCCACACUGCCAGUAUGGUUCAUCUGCCCACUAGCUCUGUCUGAGAGAGGGGGGGAGAGAAAAAGAUGGGGGGUUCAGCAAAAGAGAGCAACAUAUAAAAUAUUAUGGGAGAAAUAGAGUGAAAGAAAGACAGAGAGAUGGGAGAAGAGGAGACAAGGGAGAGUAAGAAAGAGAAGAGGACUGGCUUGUCUGAAACUGAGUGAGCUUAUUAUAAUGUAAAUGUAA